UACGAAGGGGGCUAGCGUUGUUCGGAAUUACUGGGCGUAAAGCGCAUGUAGGCGGAUAUUUAAGUCAGGGGUGAAAUCCCGCAGCUCAACUGCGGAACUGCCUUUGAUACUGGGUAUCUUGAGUAUGGAAGAGGUGAGUGGAAUUCCGAGUGUAGAGGUGAAAUUCGUAGAUAUUCGGAGGAACACCAGUGGCGAAGGCGGCCCACUGGUCCAUUACUGACGCUGAGGUGCGAAAGCGUGGGGAGCAAACAGG
rnacentral:rRNA from 1 species